rnacentral:lncRNA from 1 species
GGAAAUGGCAACCCACUCCAGUGUUCUUGCCUGGAGGAUCCCAGGGACGGGGGAGUCUGGUGGGCUGCCGUCUAUGGGGUCGCACAGAGUCGGACAUGACUGAAGCGACUUAGCAGCAGCAGCAGCAGCAUCCUAGGCUAAAUACAUCUUGCAUCUGGUGUUUACCCUUACAACACCCUUCGCCUUGUAGUUACAUAUCAAAAAGAAGGCCGCAGAACUACUGAACUGCCAGACUCACAGGAUUACCGAUGCCAGUCUAUGACUGUCUUUGUAAAGGGCAGGAGGAAGAAAUCAAGAUCCAAACACUUUUUUUCCUCAUCACCGACUCCUGACUGAGAGCCCUCGUUUUAUAUAAGCCCCCAGACUCCUUGUGGAGGCAGGAGAGGGGGAGGAACAGUUCCUGCCGCACGAGCCUACUGUGUUUCCCCUCUCCACCAGCUGAGAAAUAAAGCCACCUUUCUAUUCCCUCCAAA